UACAGAGGUCCCGGGCGUGUUCGGAUUCACUGGGCGUAAAGGGUGCGUAGGUGGCAGGGUAAGUCGGAUGUGAAAGCUCGGAGCUCAACUCCGAAAUGGCAUUGGAAACUACCCAGCUCGAGGGUUGGAGGGGGACUGGAAUGCUUGGUGUAGCAGUGAAAUGCGUAGAUAUCAAGCGGAACACCAGUGGCGAAGGCGAGUCCCUGGAACAACUCCUGACACUGAGGCACGAAAGCUAGGGGAGCAAACAGGA
rnacentral:rRNA from 1 species